rnacentral:rRNA from 1 species
UACGGAGGGGGCAAGCGUUGUCCGGAAUCAUUGGGCGUAAAGCGCGUGUAGGCGGCCCGGUAAGUCCGCUCUGAAAGUCGGGGGCUCAACCCUCGGAUGCGGGUGGAUACUGUCGGGCUUGAGUGCGGAAGAGGCGAGUGGAAUUCCUGGUGUAGCGGUGAAAUGCGCAGAUAUCAGGAGGAACACCAAUUGCGAAGGCAGCUCGCUGGGACGUUACUGACGCUGAGACGCGAAAGCGUGGGGAGCAAACAGG